CUGCUCCCGACUCUGCCCAGGUGGGAAGAUGUCCUCCGUUCCUGUGGGGCCCCGCCACUGUCCUUGUCACAUAGCAUUUAUGGGACUGGCACCUGGCUCCCAGGACGUGCGACACUCUGGAAGGUGAAUCUCCAUCACCCGCCCCUCUUCCCCGUGGCCACUGCGUCAGACACUGGCCUUUGGUUUUGGCAUUCCAAUCACAUCCUCUUACCCACAGUAGCUGAUGUGCUGUCUCCCGUGCGCCGUGAACAUCAUUCCUGUCUGCCCUCCCAUUCAUGCACGCAUUCAUUCAUUCAUUCUGGCCAAUCAGAGCACUCUGUUUUCUUGGCCAAUCAGAGCAUUCCAUUCUCCUGUCCACAAAGAUGAGUUUCAGAUGGGCAGGUGACAUCGCCAUGCCCCUGGAGCUUAAAUCUGAGACUUCUGUGGGAACACGGUGAGGAGCAGCAUGCACUCUUAAGCUGCAUGAAAGGUGUCAGCCUGGUGACUUCUACAACGUGCGCCCGGUGGCCUCACAAUGUACAGUAACCCAUCUCCCUUUGUAGGUGUGAAAAGCCGCCCUGUGUCCCGGGGCUGUCCCCAGACCAGGCCUAGUGCACCAUGGGCUGGUCCCUGCACAUCUCCAGAGCUCCCGGGGUCCAUGGCAGGCGCAGACACAAUCAUGGGCUGUGGACGGCACACGGAGCUGGUUCAGAGGCCGCAGUGCAUUCCUGCUCAGGCUGCUCCAAGAGGACACAGAGGAGUUAACUUAGAGCUCGUGUUGAUCCACUAUUGUACUUGGAGAAAAUCAUAUGGCCACGUGACAUGCAUGUUGGUGCCCGUUGUAGGUGAUGUGGUCUCAUCCUGACCAUCACAUGGCUCUUUAAAUCCUAAGAGACAUCGCAGACAGGAUCUCACUGUGUAGCCCAGGCUGGGCUAAAAGUUGCUGUGAAUCUCUUGCCUCAGCCUCCCGAGUGCUGGGAUUACAGGUGUGCACCACCAUGCCCAGCUCAGUAAGAAGCAUCUUAUGUUUGUGAGACAUUUGGUUCUUUUCAAAGGACUCUAAAAUGUGUUUGCACUUUAUUAUACUAUAAUUUAUGAGAGGUACAGAAAGUGGAGUUUUAUAUGUUAAAGGUAGAAGCUGAAAGUAGUUCAGGAUUCUGGUUUGCCAUGGGGCCCUGCCUACAUUUUUGUAUUUUCAGUUACACUGUUAUGGCUUGUGUAUAGAUGUCCCCCCCCAGAGUCUUAUACAGUUAUAGGAGGGGCUUUUUCAGAGGUGGCUGGAUCUAGAGUGUGUGACUCUGGAAAUGAUUUGUGGUGCAAUGCUAGGCAUUGAUUCCCGGUAUAAGGGCACUAGGAUUAAGGGUGUGAGUGCUGCCUGCUCUAAGUAGCCUGGAUAAGACAUAAGGGACAGGAAGAGCUGUGGUUUUCCCUUGUUGCUUUGCUGCCUUCUGCCUGCCAUGGACUGUUUCUCCUCUGCCAUCCCGCCCUGCCUUGGAGCCAACUGAUUAUGGGCUGCAACCUCUACAGAUUGUGA
rnacentral:lncRNA from 1 species